rnacentral:rRNA from 1 species
CCCUUAGAUGUCCUGGGCCGCACGCGCGUUACACUGAUGCAUUCAACGAGCUUAUAACCUUGGCCGAGAGGCCUGGGCAAUCUUGUUAACGUGCAUCGUGAUAGGGGUAGAUUAUUGAAAUUAUUAAUCUUGAACGAGGAAUUCCUAGUAAACGCAGAUCAUCAAUCUGCAUUGAUUACGUCCCUGCCCUUUGUACACACCGCCCGUCGCACCUACCGAUUGGAUGGUCCGGUGAAGCCUCGGGAUUGUGGUUCUUGCCGCUUUGUUGUGGCGUGACCGCGAGAACUUGUCUAAACCUUAUCAUCUAGAGGAAGGUGAAGUCGUAACA